AUUGAACGCUGGCGGCAUGCUUUACACAUGCAAGUCGAACGGUAACAGGCCGCAAGGUGCUGACGAGUGGCGAACGGGUGAGUAAUGCAUCGGAACGUGCCCAGUCGUGGGGGAUAACUACUCGAAAGAGUAGCUAAUACCGCAUACGAUCUAUGGAUGAAAGCGGGGGACCGUAAGGCCUCGCGCGAUUGGAGCGGCCGAUGUCAGAUUAGGUAGUUGGUGGGGUAAAGGCUCACCAAGCCAACGACCUGUAGCUGGUCUGAGAGGACGACCAGCCACACUGGGACUGAGACACGGCCCAGACUCCUACGGGAGGCAGCAGUGGGGAAUUUUGGACAAUGGGCGCAAGCCUGAUCCAGCAAUGUCGCGUGCAGGAAGAAGGCCUUCGGGUUGUAAACUGCUUUUGUACGGAACGAAACGGCUCUGGUUAAUACCCGGGGCUAAUGACGGUACCGUAAGAAUAAGCACCGGCUAACUACGUG
rnacentral:rRNA from 1 species